AUUGAACGCUGGCGGCAGGCCUAACACAUGCAAGUCGAACGGUAACAGGAAGAAGCUUGCUUCUUUGCUGACGAGUGGCGGACGGGUGAGUAAUGUCUGGGAAACUGCCUGAUGGAGGGGGAUAACUACUGGAAACGGUAGCUAAUACCGCAUAACGUCGCAAGACCAAAGAGGGGGACCUUCGGGCCUCUUGCCAUCGGAUGUGCCCAGAUGGGAUUAGCUAGUAGGUGGGGUAACGGCUCACCUAGGCGACGAUCCCUAGCUGGUCUGAGAGGAUGACCAGCCACACUGGAACUGAGACACGGUCCAGACUCCUACGGGAGGCAGCAGUGGGGAAUAUUGCACAAUGGGCGCAAGCCUGAUGCAGCCGUGCCGCGUGUAUGAAGAAGGCCUUCGGGUUGUAAAGUACUUUCAGCGGGGAGGAAGGGAGUAAAGUUAAUACCUUUGCUCAUUGACGUUACCCGCAGAAGAAGCACCGGCUAACUCCGUG
rnacentral:rRNA from 1 species